GGGACACGUGGUAUCCUGUCUGAAUAUGGGGGGACCAUCCUCCAAGGCUAAAUACUCCUGACUGACCGAUAGUGAACCAGUACCGUGAGGGAAAGGCGAAAAGAACCCCGGCGAGGGGAGUGAAAAAGAACCUGAAACCGUGUACGUACAAGCAGUGGGAGCACGCUUAGGCGUGUGACUGCGUACCUUUUGUAUAAUGGGUCAGCGACUUAUAUUCUGUAGCAAGGUUAACCGAAUAGGGGAGCCGAAGGGAAACCGAGUCUUAACUGGGCGUUAAGUUGCAGGGUAUAGACCCGAAACCCGGUGAUCUAGCCAUGGGCAGGUUGAAGGUUGGGUAACACUAACUGGAGGACCGAACCGACUAAUGUUGAAAAAUUAGCGGAUGACUUGUGGCUGGGGGUGAAAGGCCAAUCAAACCGGGAGAUAGCUGGUUCUCCCCGAAAGCUAUUUAGGUAGCGCCUCGUGAAUUCAUCUCCGGGGGUAGAGCACUGUUUCGGCAAGGGGGUCAUCCCGACUUACCAACCCGAUGCAAACUGCGAAUACCGGAGAAUGUUAUCACGGGAGACACACGGCGGGUGCUAACGUCCGUCGUGAAGAGGGAAACAACCCAGACCGCCAGCUAAGGUCCCAAAGUCAUGGUUAAGUGGGAAACGAUGUGGGAAGGCCCAGACAGCCAGGAUGUUGGCUUAGAAGCAGCCAUCAUUUAAAGAAAGCGUAAUAGCUCACUGGUCGAGUCGGCCUGCGCGGAAGAUGUAACGGGGCUAAACCAUGCACCGAAGCUGCGGCAGCGACGCUGAUGCGUUGUUGGGUAGGGGAGCGUUCUGUAAGCCUGCGAAGGUGUGCUGUGAGGCAUGCUGGAGGUAUCAGAAGUGCGAAUGCUGACAUAAGUAACGAUAAAGCGGGUGAAAAGCCCGCUCGCCGGAAGACCAAGGGUUCCUGUCCAACGUUAAUCGGGGC
rnacentral:rRNA from 1 species